GGAGGAGGAGCGGGGACGGGGACGGGGACGGGCUGCGGCUGGAGACGAGCCCCCGAAAGGCGGGAGCGGGGCGGGAGGCCGGAGGCUUUGCGCGGGAAGUCCGGCCCCGCCGUCCGGCCCCGGCCCCGGCCCCGGCCUGGCCGUCCGCGGCGGCCGCAGCGCGCUGCCCCCUCACGGAGUCUCCAGCUGACGUAUCAAGGUGUUUUCCUCUCUUUUUUUUUUUAAUUUUGGGUCUUUUGACUCCACUACAGCAAAAUGGUGCCCAGAUCUCCAAGUUCUCUGGAGGCCGGUGGUACUUAAAUCUCCAGCCUACACGCAUACGUGUUUGUUCACGCGCCAACAGUGUUUUUCCAGUUCAACCUGCUGCUUUAUUUCUUUUCUAAAAGUACAUCGUCCCCUCUCACCCUCCUAGGCUAGAUGUGCUGAGGGUUUUUUUGGGUUUUUUUUGGUCUUUUGUAAAGUAGGUUCUUCAUUAAUCUGUUUGCCAUAAGCUGCUUAAAAAUAAUCAUUGGCUGCAUCAGGAGCUGAGCGUUUAAAAAAAAACCAAACAAACCUCACAUCCCUCCUAAAUUCUGCAGUUUUGAAUUUCUUGAAUGUCUGGAACUGGCAUUUGUGCUUAACAUCCUACAGAAGGGCGACAUCCCUGCAUUCUCCAUGUACUCAACAGCACAAGUUUGGGUUCAUGAAGAAAGUUAGGUAAACCAAGCGGGUAACAGCAAGUGGCAAUGCCAAGAAGACUAAAAAUUAGAGAGGAUACUCUCUGCUUUAUGGAUCUUGGAGAUAUCUCCGUUACACAAUGUUACACAACAUUUACGCACCAAAUACUGCAGAAUGGGAAGUAAGCCAUCUCUGAUCUGUUUCCCUCUGGAAAGUUUUGAAACUGCUCAGCAAUUUAAUCAAGUCUGCAGAGCCUCAGAGAUACUAAAUACCUCCAGUUUUUGUGGAAAUAGCUGCUCAGGUAAAGAGAGACCCUGGAAUAGGAUAAAGGGAGAACAAUGGAAUCCUGGCUGUGUUAAUUCUGCUGCUCACAGAACUGCUUGUUAAAAUAGGUUACAACAAGGUUGCUCCCACCCAUUUAAGAACAGAAAACCUCAGAUGUGCCUGUGGAAGGGUUGCUUGCGCUUAGCAACACUACUAGAAAUAGAAUGGUUAGAUAAAUGAUACAGAACUUUAUAAAGAUGAGAAGCAUUCUUGAUGAAAAACUAAAAGCUGUGACAACUAUUUUGUCUCUGAAGCAAACCUGUUACUCCAGAACGUCAUGGCUGUUGCAGAGAAGUUGGGAUCUUCCAGGUUAAUAGUCAAUGCAUGCACACUGUAAAGCAACAAAGUAGCAUGUAUGCUUGAGGGAUCCUUUCAGGGAACAAAGGAUUCUCCCAGGUUGCUUCUUGAGAUGUUCCCACCUGCAUGCACAGACUCUGACUACGCCGUCUGCUGAGGGUGGCCCUGAGGUCCUUCUCCAGACUAGACUCACCUGUCCACCCAAGUGUGAAUCUGCUCACGUGUGCCUGGUAUGUCAAUCUCCCUGUGGAAGCAACUGUGGCAGUAAUUUGUGCACCAUGCUUUCAAGCAGUAAUGCAGGAUGAAAGAGACAGAAUGAGCAUACCCCUCACUAGAUUGCUGUUGAGGUGUUUGUCUCCGCUGAUUUAGCCAGAACGCUUCUGCUCGUACCACUCACUCCAUCCAAAACCAGAUUUUCUUACUCUAUCCCAGGAUUAGGCUAGGGAUGAGGAGGCUCCAGUAGGAUACCCCUAAGAAUCUGUGCCAAGGCUACCCUUAAUUUAAGAUCUUAGUUAAAUAUCUGGAAGAGAAGAUAAAGAGCGCAUUAGUGGCAUUUACAGAGUAUUAAGCUGGGAGAGAUUGAAAGCUGUAUUCAGGGUAGAAACAUAAACUACCUGAAAAUGAUAAACAUGAGCAGAAAUUAAUGGAAGCUCAGUUGGGAAGACUGUGAGUCUUUAUCUGAGGUGAUUUAAGUUCCUUGAACCCAUCUAUUAAACUGAAGAAAUCUGAAAGUAAUAAUGCCAGGAGUCAAAGAAUAAAGGCAAAAAUGAAGCAGACAUCAAAUACUGCUGUAUGAAGAAGGCUGCAGAAAGGCUAGUGCAGUUGAGGAUUUGAAUUUUCAUUUCACCCUCAAAAGGAACUUUUCCUGCUGUAGAAGUAUGAGUCUGGCCACCAUUCCUGCCGCCGUGUCUGCUGAUCUCCCCAGCUGUACCACCUAAAAUAGUGGAGGUAAGUCCAAGAGAAAGGGAGGAACCAGACACCACUGCUGCUUCCCGCAUUUUCAAAUAGCACCGGUGCAUGCAACUGCCGUGCUUCUGCCUGGGAGAGGAAGCAUGAUCCUCUUGUGGGUCAGACUCGCGAGCUGGGAGAUUCUGCUCUAGGCAGAAUGUUUUACACACAGCUGUUUUGCUUCAUGCAGUAGUUGAUAUGAUUUGAUUUGGUAUCCAGAACUACAAAGUAUUUCCCUUCCAGCUGUGAGGAUCCCCUGUGAUCUUCUGAUGUCUGGGGUGAAGAACACCAUUCCCUGUAAAAGUGGUCUUUGAAACACUGUACUCGGGGCACCUUGGCUCUGCUUCCAGCUCUGCUGUCAUUAGCUUGUGCUAUGCCUGGCUUGAGCCAUCUAUAAAAGAAAUAACAUGGUUGUGAGGGAUAUAGUGAAGGCUGCAGGCACUCAGAGACUCCUCACUCUUUAUUCUCUUAGUUUCUCAUUCGCCCAGCAGAAACUGGGUGCUGGGCAAACGAGGCUGCUCCUUCUUGCUCUGAGAACACCAGCGUCUUCAGUCUUGCCUUACAUGUCUUGAGAAGAUAAUUAUGCUUGUACAGUUUACAUUACCCAUGUGUAGUUCCUUAUCUUUGAAGGAAUUAUUUGCAGAGAGGGGCAGAGAGGAUUUGGCCCUUAAUGAAUUCAAUUCCUUUCACUUAGCUGCCAGUAGAUGGCUCUCUGAAUUUGCAGUCCCUUAUUUACUACAUUGUUUGUUGAAUUAUGUUGGACACAUUUUCACUGGAAACUGUUUUCAGCGUGUUGGCUUUGAGGAAGUUUACGUAAGAAGAACAAGGAAGCAAUGGACUGGGUAAAUAGACUGCUAACAAACAAGACACAGGAUCGGUUCGCUUUUUGCAAAAUGUUUUACGGCUACAAUCCAAAAGAUUUUUCUUGUUCAGGACCUAAUCUUAUAAUGAUCAGGCUCUACGAGUUACAUCUGUGUUCACAGGAUGCAUUUACCAGACUUGAUUAUAACCGAGUAAAAUUCAUUCUCAAUAAAAAAAAGCAUUUUAGUCAGGUGUUUUAAAAGAUGCCUGUGGUUUAUGGACAGGUACCCUAGUGAAUUGCUUGAAAUGCUUCUUUGUUCACACCCCGUCAGUGUGAGAGAUGUUGUUUCACGGAUACAUGUGUGUUAACAGAGCACUGUGUCUAGGCCGUGAACUUCAGAUAGGUGCUUAGCCCAAAUACAGCUCGCAGAUGUAGACUCAACUGUUCAUUCCUCACCUUUUUGUUACAUGGUUUAUCGGAGAAGACGAAAAGGUGACUUUCAACAUGAUGGUCCAUGUUUUGACAAAUUGCUGGGCUUUUCCCCCAGGCCCCAAAUUAGCAAGGUAACUAGAAGGGAAAUGCAGCAGCUACAGUGGAGACCCAUCACCUUUCACAGUGUCCUUCAACUCCCAGUGUAGUAUAUGCUCAGUCUUUGUCCUGCUGGAGUACUAAUGCAUCCAUGACAAGUGAGGAUCAGUCCCCAGCUUCUCAGAGACCACUUACCCGGAGCAGCAGAUGCUUAUUGAUGAUGGCUGCAUAAAUCAGCUAACCCCUUUUUGGAGGUAGUGAUGUCUUUCAAAGGCUGAUGCAUUCUACCGUUGGAAUCUGGAGUAGAACAAGCUAGGUUCCUUAUUUGCUUUCUAAAACAUGAUGAAGCAUUACAACGUGUUAAGGCAGAGUAACUAUUCAGUAUCCUCAUAAUGCUGAUAAAGUUCCAGGUUUUAAAUUGGUUAGUAGAAAUAGGUAGCCUCUAUCCAAACAAUAAUUUAAAUUAAGGUGGGCUGUAUGGAGGUAUUAAUUGCAGAGUACACAGUCCCUCCGCUGAAGUUAGUCUUGAUUUGUCUUCACCCUCAUUCUGAGGUACCAGUCACCCUUGAGGACAAUACAUAGGCACAAACAACUUUAGGAAAAAUAAGCAGCCUAACACUCCAAAUAUAUCAUCAACUGCAUACAAUUUCACCCUAAUUUAAAAGAAAACAGUUCCGUUUUCUACUGCAGAUAAAAUUUACCACAAAAUGGUUGUUUUUUAAUUGGAGGAAGCUGCUAGUUCCUAAAGAGAUGCCUGAAUUUUUUUUACCUGAUUUUUUU